UAUCUCUGUAGAGUCUGCAUAUCAAUAAGCGGAGGAAAAGAAACUAACUAAGGAUUCCCUCAGUAACGGCGAGUGAAGCGGGAAGAGCUCAAAUUUGAAAUCUUCAAGGUUCUACCUUGACGAAUUGUAGUUUAAAGAAGUGUUUUCUGUUGGAGUUUUGGUAAAAGUUCUUUGGAAUAGGACAUCAUAGAGGGUGAGAAUCCCGUAUUUGACCAUUAUUUCCAGCUUUGUGAUACACUUUCAAAGAGUCGGAUUGUUUGGGAAUGCAGUCCAAAAUGGGUGGUAAAUUUCAUCUAAAGCUAAAUAUUGGCGAGAGACCGAUAGCGAACAAGUACCGUGAGGGAAAGAUGAAAAGAACUUUGAAAAGAGAGUUAAACAGCACGUGAAAUUGUCAAAAGGGAAGCGUUUGACACCAGUGUUGUUUCUACGAAAAUCAAUUUAUGAUGGCUUGAUGCUAAGCUUUAAGACUUUAUCCGCUUGUUGUUUAGUUUUCUUGUCUUUGUGAAUGCACUUUUCGUGGAACAAGUCAACAUCAAUUUCUUUUGCUGUAAAAGGGUAAGAGGAAGGUGGCUUCGGCUUCGGUUGAAGUGUUUAUAGCCUUUUAUCUCUGCAGUCGGAGAGAUUGAGGUCUGCAGCGUAGACUCUUCGGGGUUAGAUACGUCGGUGCUAAGCUAUAGCUUUUCAUAGACAACUUGUUGACUAUGUUUAGUCAUGUGGCUUACCCGCUGGCGCUAUUUUACCUACGCUUAGGAUGUUGAGUCAUCACACAUCUCU
rnacentral:rRNA from 1 species